rnacentral:rRNA from 1 species
AUUGAACGCUGGCGGCAGGCCUAACACAUGCAAGUCGAGCGGCAGCGGAAAGUAGCUUGCUACUUUGCCGGCGAGCGGCGGACGGGUGAGUAAUGUCUGGGAAACUGCCUGAUGGAGGGGGAUAACUACUGGAAACGGUAGCUAAUACCGCAUAACGUCGCAAGACCAAAGAGGGGGACCUUCGGGCCUCUUGCCAUCAGAUGUGCCCAGAUGGGAUUAGCUAGUAGGUGGGGUAACGGCUCACCUAGGCGACGAUCCCUAGCUGGUCUGAGGGGAUGACCAGCCACACUGGAGCUGAGACACGGUCCAGACUCCUACGGGAGGCAGCAGUGGGGAAUAUUGCACAAUGGGCGCAAGCCUGAUGCAGCCAUGCCGCGUGUAUGAAGAAGGCCUUCGGGUUGUAAAGUACUUUCAGCGGGGAGGAAGGUGUUGAGGUUAAUAACCUCAGCAAUUGACGUUACCCGCAGAAGAAGCACCGGCUAACUCCGUG